rnacentral:rRNA from 1 species
UACGGAGGGUGCAAGCGUUAUCCGGAUUUACUGGGUUUAAAGGGUGCGUAGGUGGGUCUGUAAGUCAGUGGUGAAAUCCCCAGGCUCAACCUGGGAACUGCGUCUGAUACUGGAUGGCUUGAAUCCGGGAGAGGGAUGCAGAAUUCCAGGUGUAGCGGUGAAAUGCGUAGAUAUCUGGAGGAAUACCGGUGGCGAAGGCGGCAUCCUGGACCGGCAUUGACGCUGAGGAGCGAAAGCCAGGGGAGCAAACGGG